rnacentral:lncRNA from 1 species
AUGGGCCUGAGCGCGGCCCCAGCCCCGGCAGCCCCAGCCCCACGUUCCGGUCCCCCCGCGGGCCUUGCUCUCCACUCCCUCUCCUCCCGCGGGCCCGGGCCCCAGCCCCGCUCCCGAGCGGGUUCCAGCGGGGCAGCCGCGCUCUCCUCCAGCGCCGGGGGCCACAGCCGGGGCCGCAAAGCUCCGUCAGCCCCCGCCACCAGACCGGGCCAGAGCACAGGCGCCCCCCGCCCUCUCCCAGCCGCUUCUACCCGCAGUACCCCCCGUACUCACCGCCUCCGAGGGGGCCCCCGCAGCGGCCCCCAGCAAGGCCCAGCCUAUAUGCGGCGCCUGGCAGGGCACGGGGGAAGAGAACCCCACCGGCACCGCCCCGCCGCGGAAACUCCGGCCCGGCUCGCCCGGUUGCCCCCGGGCCGGGCGCAGGCGGCGCCUGACGGGGCGGGCUCAGCGCCGCCCUUUUCCGGGCCCGCGAGCGCCCUCGCGCGGCCUGAGGGGCUCCGCGGGCCGGGCCUCGGCUCCGCCGGGCGGGCGCUCCGCCUCUCCGAGCGCUGCGCUGCGGGGGAGGGCAGCCCUGCCGUCAGCGGGACAUUGGUUACAGGUUUGUUCACCUUUGCCCAGGGGUAGAGGAAUUGAAAUUUCUCUUCAAAACCUCUCUUCACCAGGAGAUACCUGAUGAUCUUAACAUCCACAGAUUUGGAGUAGCCAGAAGAUGCACAGGAGAUAACAGAACAUUAAGGAACAUUACCCAUUGAUGUAGCCAGGGAUACCUGGUCUGGGAACAGAACAAUAAGAGAACCAAAGAAUGAGGACCAGAUUAGCAUCAAAGGCAAAGGGAUCAAUAACCAAUAGGAAAUCGAAUACUAAGAGUUGUGCAAUUUAAGACAAAUGAACAGGAAUUUCUUUGGUGCUUUUAUAUAUAAAUAUGUGAAAAGUGAAUUAUUAAAUAAUAUGUGAAUUAUUUAUUUAUUUUAUUCACAUAAAUAAUAUGUGAAUUAUUUUCACAACCUGGGCAUGUGUCAGAUGAAAUAAUUUCUGUUGCACAUCCUGGCCAGAAUAAAGUAAUGCCUUGAUUCUCUAAUACUGAAAAG